rnacentral:rRNA from 1 species
CCCCCGGCGCAACUGCAUGCAUCCAGCGAGUUUUAUAACCUUCGCCGAUAGGCGUGGGUAAUCUUGUGACCCCGCAUCGGGAUGGGGAUGGAUUAUUGCAUUUUUUCCCCUUCACGAGGAAAUGCCUAGAAGGCACGAGUCAACAGCUCGGGUCAAUUACUUCCCUGCCUUUUGAACACCCCAAAA